rnacentral:lncRNA from 1 species
ACGCUGUGAAGACCUGUGUCACUUGUGAAGUAUCCUACUGUGACGAGUGCCUGAAAGCCACUCACCCGAAUAAGAAGCCCAUUUAUUUCUGUCUUUGGUGGCUUUCUUCAGAUUGAUUGCAUUCCUGAAUUUAAACUUCAAAGGAAGACAAGGAAGGAAAGAACACACAAUAUUUAUUGACUUGUCUUUCUUGAACAAAAAAGUGAUAGCACUCACUUGUACUACAUUAGUAAAAACAGCUGGCUAAAUAUUGAUGAAAAUUAAUGACCUCUAGCAAACCACAU